CCUACGGGUGGCAGCAGUCGAGAAUCAUUCACAAUGGGGGAAACCCUGAUGGUGCGACGCCGCGUGGGGGAAUGAAGGUCUUCGGAUUGUAAACCCCUGUCAUGUGGGAGCAAAUUAAAAAGAUAGUACCACAAGAGGAAGAGACGGCUAACUCUGUGCCAGCAGCCGCGGUAAUACAGAGGUCUCAAGCGUUGUUCGGAAUCACUGUGCGUAAAGCGUGCGUAGGCUGUUUCGUAAGUCGUGUGUGAAAGGCGCGGGCUCAACCCGCGGACGGCACAUGAUACUGCGAGACGAGAGGAAUGGAGGGGGAACCGGAAUUCUCGGUGUAGCAGUGAAAUGCGUAGAUAUCGAGAGGAACACUCGUGGCGAAGGCGGGUUCCUGGACAUUAACUGACGCUGAGGCACGAAGGCCAGGGGAGCGAAAGGGAUUAGAUACCCGAGUAGUC
rnacentral:rRNA from 1 species